UACGUAGGGUGCGAGCGUUGUCCGGAAUUAUUGGGCGUAAAGAGCUCGUAGGCGGUCUGUCGCGUCUGCUGUGAAAUCCCGAGGCUCAACCUCGGGCCUGCAGUGGGUACGGGCAGACUAGAGUGCGGUAGGGGAGAUUGGAAUUCCUGGUGUAGCGGUGAAAUGCGCAGAUAUCAGGAGGAACACCGGUGGCGAAGGCGGUUCUCUGGGCAUUACCUGACGCUGAGGAGCGAAAGUGUGGGGAGCGAACAGG
rnacentral:rRNA from 1 species